ACAUUCUAAUGAUCCCUCAACAACAGAAACAAUAAUCACAAACUGAAAGAGCGCCGACAAGAAAUAAAUUUCAGACAAACUGGCCCUGGAACAUUAGAAAAAGACACCUCAUGCUGCAACUUCCUCUUCUUCUUCCUCGUACUCCUCGUCGUCAGCAGUUGCAUCCUGAUACUGCUGGUACUCUGCCACCAAGUCAUUCAUGUUACUCUCAGCCUCGGUGAACUCCAUCUCGUCCAUUCCCUCACCGGUGUACCAGUGCAAGAAAGCUUUCCUCCGAAACAUAGCCGUAAAUUGCUCACUGACUCGCCUAAACAUCUCCUGAAUUGACGUUGAAUUUCCAAUGAAAGUGGAUGCCAUUUUCAGACCCUUAGGCGGGAUGUCACACACGCUCGACUUGACAUUAUUUGGUAUCCACUCGACAAAGUACGAAGAGUUCUUGUUUUGGACAUUGAUCAUUUGUUCAUCAACCUCUUUAGUACUCAUCUUACCACGGAACAUGGCCGAAGCAGUUAGGUAACG
rnacentral:lncRNA from 1 species